rnacentral:rRNA from 1 species
AUCGCCCGGGAACUACGAGCAAAGCUUAAAACCCAAAGGACUUGACGGUACCCCACAUCCACCUAGAGGAGCCUGUCCUAUAAUCGAUAACCCCCGUUUAACCUCACCAUUUUUAGCCUAUCAGCCUGUAUACCUCCGUCGUCAGCUUACCCCGUGAGUGACCCUCAGUGAGCUUAAUGCCCAUACGCCAACACGUCAGGUCAAGGUGCAGCAGAUAAAGUGGAAAGAGAUGGGCUACACUCUCUACUCUAGAAAAUACGGAAGACUAUUUAUGAAACCUAGUCAGAAGGCGGAUUUAGUAGUAAAAAGAGACAAGAGUGCUCUUUUUAACAUGGCACUGGGGUGUGUACACACCGCCCGUCACCCUCUUCAAAGCUAAUAUAUAGUCCUUGACACAUUUAAGCACUACAGAAGAGGCAAGUCGUAACAUGGUAAGUAUACCGGAAGGUGUGCUUGGAAA